rnacentral:rRNA from 1 species
GAUAAACGCUGGCGGCGUGCAUGAGACGUGCAAGUCAUACGGACGAGCUUGCUCGUCAGUGGCGAACGGCUGAGUAACGCGUAGGUGACCUGCCCCGAAGUGGGGGGUAACUGCCCGAAAGGGUGGCUAAUACCGCAUGUGGCGACGUGUUCAUUCACGUCAUCAAAGCCGCGAGGCGCUUCGGGAGGGGCCUGCGUCCGAUUAGCUCGUUGGUGGGGUAACGGCUCACCAAGGCGACGAUCGGUAGGUGGUCUGAGAGGACGAUCACCCAGACUGGGACUGAGACACGGCCCAGACUCCUACGGGAGGCAGCAGUCGGGAAUUUUGCUCAAUGGGGGAAACCCUGAAGCAGCAACGCCGCGUGCGGGAUGAAGGCCUUCGGGUUGUAAACCGCUUUUACCAGGGACGAUAAUGACGGUACCUGGUGAAUAAGUCACGGCUAACUACGUGCCAGCAGCCGCAGUAAAAC